rnacentral:rRNA from 1 species
GUCCACGCCGUAAACGAUGGAUACUAGCUGUUGGUGGCAACAUCAGUGGCUAAGCGAAAGUGAUAAGUAUCCCACCUGGGGAGUACGUUCGCAAGAAUGAAACUCAAAGGAAUUGACGGGGGCCCGCACAAGCGGUGGAGCAUGUGGUUUAAUUCGAUGAUACGCGAGGAACCUUACCAAGGCUUAAAUGUAGACUGACCGGACUGGAAACAGAUCUUUCGCAAGACAGUUUACAAGGUGCUGCAUGGUUGUCGU